CCUCCUCCCGGCCGUCCGCUCCGGCGUCCUCAGGCUCGGCUGCGGACGCGGGGUCCUCAGCCGUGUCCCUGAGCCUGGUCACUCUCUCUCUUCGCGAGGGCUCUGCGGCUCAAGGCGGAACGGGGAGGCGGGGGCUGCGGUGGCCGUGUACUAGAUAGGAGGGCCGGCUUCCGUGGCAGCAGCGGCUUCGGCGCGGAGGUCCGCAACGGCCUCGGGCGCCCCACCGCUUCGGCUAUUUCCGUCGCCUGCCUGCUUCGGCUCUUCCCGCCCGGCCUGCGCUAUGCGCUUGCGCAGCCGCCGCCACCGCCCCACGUUGCUCCGCGCUGGGACUUGGGGAUCGGGCUCCUUCGGCUUGGUUCGGGUAUUUCCGUUCGUGCAGGCCGGGCCGGUCACUUCCGGGGACGCCCGCGAGUCCAGGAAGGAGGUGGGGGUGGGGGGGUGGUGGUGGCGGUGUCACCGCCAUAUUUAAGUGGGGCAGAUGCAGGCCACCUCACUUGCGGGCCGCUAUGCCCAUUCGCAGUCGUGGGGACAGCGGCGUAGGCGGGCCAAACAAGGGGCUUGUCCCCAAGGGGCCACAGACCGAGGCAGGGUUAAGGUCAGAGCCAGGAGCCAGGCCUAGAGUGUGUGACUCAGAACCAUCGGUGUCCCAUCUCAGGCCCAGAGAGCCCGCUCGCAGAGAGUUUGGUUGAGGUAAACUAACAAAUAAAACGUGUAUUGGGUAGUAUAACAGAGGGUAGUAUAACACUGGAGGUUUUCACGGGCUCACACACUUGGGGGCAGCCCUCCGCGAGGGUCUCGAGUUCCCCCGCAGGCGACCUCCGAACUUCCGCCGUCUGCGUGCGCGAGGUGGGCGGAGCCAGCCUCCCCUCCAAUCGCAGCUCAGCGUGCGUCGGAAGGCGGGAGCAGGCGGCGCGGAGCGGCUCUGCGACUUCAGGCUGUCACCAAGGACACCGUCAGGCGAAUGUUCUCCUGAUGAAAACACUGGCUGCACAGACGUUCCGUGGAGGGCAAAGGGAGCAGCCAGGACACCCGGUGGUGUGGAGCCCACGGUGGCUGAGGGAACCGGUAUUGGAAGCGGGGCCUGUGGUUGUCUGUAGGCGAGUGCAGCCCAAGGAAAGACCGGGGCUGCAGAGAAGACCCGCCGAGGAGCCGUAGGCAGAGGCGCCAGUGUGGCUGGAGAGAGCAGAGACUGCGCUGUGCUGAGAGAGGCAGGGCACUAGCUGCCCAGCAGGGUCCCCAGCUGAAAGCUGAGACAGCGGAAGGGGUGGCUGCCAGACCUCCUCUCAGCUUCAGUAUGCAGCACUGACAGAGCAUAAGAGAAGAACCUUAAAAAUACCUGGGGCAGCUCCAAAGUAAGAAAGGACUGUCCAGAGCUUGUGCACUGUGCUCGCAAGUGCUAAGGCUGUAGAGACCAGGUGGCUGAGGCCAGGUUCGGCCGUGAAGCAGGGGGUUGAGGACUUGGCCUGGGUGAGCCCAGUCCACCCACAGACCUUUGGUGUGUGAGCCUGCAGAGGGAUCUCCACUGAAUGGCUGGGGGCCCAGGUGAGUCUUCCAGUUUAGAGUCAUGAUGGACUGUGUGGCAGCCUGUCACCCAGGAUGAUGCUUAGUGUAGGGACAGUUGAGGAGGUCCCCGAGCCGUGAAGGGCAGGCUCUUCGCAGUGCAACCAGCGAGAGCACUUGCACCUCAGGAAACCAAGCUAGCUAACAAGUCCAGAAAUAACAUCAGGUAUGUCCAGGUUCUCAAAGGAUGGGUCAGCAUCCAUGAAGAAAGAAUGAGUUUGGGCCCUUUAUUGAUAAAAACAGCAAAUGGGGACUUCUGGGUAAUAAUAGUAUCUAUUUAAAUUGGUUUCAUUGUGAAGCAGCAGUAAAAACCACCAUAAAGGUUUUGUUUGGUUUUCUUCAAGGUAUAAAAUCCACAAAGAUGAAGAGGAAAGGAAAUAAAGCAACCCCUGGUAUUUCUACUCUGGAUGGCAGACCGAGCAAACAGUAACUGUGCAUCACUGUUGAUCUCAAAGGCUUGAAAAGUUCAGGGUUCGGAAGGACCAGGUCCCUCUGGCCAUGCAGCCAGGAUGCAGGCAAGAGGCUAGACAUGCCUUCUUAGGACACUCAGAGCGAAGAACUGAAGACCCUCACAGCAAGGGCGCCCGCUUCCACGCAGCCCAGCCAGGGUGCCCUAUGACUUCUUCAGUGGCAUCCAUGGUUGCUCCACCCACCCACUUAUGUCUCCCAAGAAGUGGGUCUCUGUGGGGAGCAAACUUCAUCUCUCCCAGCCGCCCUCUCUCACCUG